rnacentral:rRNA from 1 species
AUACGGAGGGUGCGAGCGUUAUCCGGAUUUAUUAGGUUUAAAGGGUGUGUAGGCGGGAGCCUAAGUCAGUGGUGAAAUCUCACAGCUUAACUGUGAAACUGCCACUGAAACUGGGUUUCUUGAGUAUAGUUGAGGUAGGCGGAAUGUGUAAUGUAGCGGUGAAAUGCAUAGAUAUUACACAGAACACCGAUUGCGAAGGCAGCUUACUAAGCUAUUACUGACGCUGAUGCACGAAAGCGUGGGUAGCGAACAGGAUUAGAAACCCCAGUAGUCC